UACGUAGGGUGCGAGCGUUGUCCGGAAUUAUUGGGCGUAAAGAGCUCGUAGGCGGUGUGUCGCGUCGGCCGUGAAAACCUGCAGCUUAACUGUGGGCUUGCGGUCGAUACGGGCAUCACUGGAGUUCGGCAGGGGAGACUGGAAUUCCUGGUGUAGCGGUGAAAUGCGCAGAUAUCAGGAGGAACACCGGUGGCGAAGGCGGGUCUCUGGGCCGAAACUGACGCUGAGGAGCGAAAGCGUGGGUAGCAAACAGG
rnacentral:rRNA from 1 species